rnacentral:rRNA from 1 species
UACGUAGGGUGCAAGCGUUGUCCGGAAUUAUUGGGCGUAAAGAGCUCGUAGGCGGUCUGUCGCGUCGGCUGUGAAAACCCGGAGCUCAACUCCGGGCCUGCAGUCGAUACGGGCAAACUGGAGUGUUGCAGGGGAGACUGGAAUUCCUGGUGUAGCGGUGGAAUGCGCAGAUAUCAGGAGGAACACCGGUGGCGAAGGCAGGUCUCUGGGCCACUACUGACGCUGAGAAGCGAAAGCAUGGGGAGCGAACAGG